GGCCGAGUGGUUAAGGCGUUGGACUCG
rnacentral:piRNA from 1 species